CGCAUCUGUGCAUGCAGCAUAUCAAUAAGCGGAGGAAAAGAAACUAACAAGGAUUCCCCUAGUAACGGCGAGUGAAGCGGGAAGAGCUCAAAUUUGAAAUCUUAAAGGGUUUCCCUUUACGAAUUGUAGUUUAAAGAAGUGUUUUCUGUUGAGGUUUUGGUAAAAGUUCUUUGGAAUAGGACAUCAUAGAGGGUGAGAGUCCCGUAUUUGACCUUUACUUUCAACUUUGUGAUACACUUUCAAAGAGUCGGAUUGUUUGGGAAUGCAGUCCAAAAUGGGUGGUAAAUUUCAUCUAAAGCUAAAUAUUGGCGAGAGACCGAUAGCGAACAAGUACCGUGAGGGAAAGAUGAAAAGAACUUUGAAAAGAGAGUUAAACAGUACGUGAAAUUGUCAAAAGGGAAGCGUUUGACACCAGUGUUGUUUUUCUGAAAAUCAAUUAAAGAACUGUUUAUGCUAAGCUGUUUAGACUUUAUCAGCUAACUGUUUAGUUUUGAGCUUUUCUUUAAUGCACUUUUCAGUUAACAAGUCAACAUCAAUUUCUUUUGCUGUAAAAAAGCUUGAGGAAGGUGGCUUGAGAUUCGUCUUAAGUGUUUAUAGCCUCUUGCCUAUGCAGUCGGAGAGAUUGAGGUCUGCAGCGUAGAUCCUUCGGGGCUAAAUGCAUUUGUGCUAAGUUAUAGCAUUUUAUAGACAACUUGUUGACUAUGAUUUGUCUUGUAGCUUACUCGCUUAUGUUAUUUUACCUACGCUUAGGAUGUUGAGUCAUCACACAUCUCU
rnacentral:rRNA from 1 species